rnacentral:rRNA from 1 species
GCGGCUUAUAAUGCAGUCGAGCGAGAACUGNACUUCGGCUCCGGGGACAGCGGCGAUCGGGUGAGUAACACGUGGGUAACCUGCCCUCGGCACCGGGAUAGCCCGGGGAAACCCGGAUUAAUACCGGAUGGCCCUUUCGGUCUUCGGACCGGUCGGAAAAGGUAGCUUCGGCCUCCGGCCGAGGAUGGGCCCGCGACGGAUUAGCUUGUUGGUGGGGUAACUGCCCACCAAGGCUCCGAUCCGUAGCUGGUCUGAGAGGACGAUCAGCCACACUGGGACUGAGACACGGCCCAGACUCCUACGGGAGGCAGCAGUGGG